UUUCCCCAUCGCUGCAGCACUUCCUGGGUAGUGAGGCAGGCCCGCGAUGGGAGCUGGAGGAAGGUGUUAAAUCUGCAGUGAGGAAGUUACUGGAAAAGUAACUCAUGUUAGAAAAAAAGUUGUUGAAAAGGCAGAAUGGCUUGGGUCAAAGGACUAUUAGAAGGCUCAUUGCCAAGAAGAUUCUGAUUUAGGAUUGUUUUGAAGCUGAGGCAGAAGGACACUCUCCAGGCAUUAUUUCACAGAACUCCUACUCUGGGCGAACUAGCAGAGGGUGACUGACCAGAGGACUCAGCAUUCGAAAAGAGUGACAUCAGCAUCCUGGUGGCAUAAAUCAUUUCCUUUUCCUCUCCUUUUUAAAACAAGUAAUUAGACAUCCAUAGCCAAACCAAACUGCCUCUGCACAUCACACCAAGGGAUCCUGGAGGUUUCCAGUGCACCUAUGCAUCCAAAAAUAAACAGAACCUCAGAAAGGGCUGCAGAUCCAAAGAAGCUGUCAGAUCUGCCCUACUCCUGCUCAUCAGGCAGUUGGGGAAAAAAGAAUGUAACCUAAAAAGGAAUCCCCUUUAGGCUAUCGGUGGAUUUCUUAGCAGAAAUUCUAGGUCAGGGGAGAGUGGGAUGACGUAUUGAAAAUGAACAUUUAUAGCCAAGAAUACUUUAUCUGGUAAAGUUAUCCUUCAGCUAUGAAGGAAAAAUAAAGGCUUUCCCAGGCAAAAGCUGAGGGAGUUCACCAGCACUAGACCUGCCUUGCAAGAAAUUCUGAAAGAAGUUCUUGAAGCUGAAAAAAAUAUACUAAUUAAUGACAUGGAAACAUAUGAAAGUACACAACACUCUGGUAAAGGUGAACGAUAGAUAGAAUUAGAAAACUUAUUCUAUCUGAAAAUGGUGUCUUAAGUUAACUAUAGCAUAAAGGUUAAAGAAAAAAGUGUUAACUACAGCUACUAUAAUUGUUAACAAAUAUACAGCAUAAAAAGAGGUAAAUUUUGACAUCAGAAGUAUAAAUGGGGAGGAGUAAAAGGGUGGAGACUUUAUAGGCAAAUGAAGAUAAGUUGCUAUCAGCAUAAAAUGGGCUGUUAUCUAUGUUUUAUAUAAUCCUCAUGGUAACCAAAAGCAAAAAUUAAAGAACAGAUUCACAAAACACAGAAAACAAGGGAGGCAGAGCAUACCACCGUAGAAAACCACCAAUGUACAAAUGUAGGCAGAAGGAGAUGGGAAAAGAAGCAAGAGAGAUAUGAAACAACCAGAAGAUAAAUAAGGUGGCAGUAGUAAGUCCUUACAUAUUAAAAUCACUCUAAAUGUAAAUGGACUGAAUUCAACCAAAAGGCACAGACUGACUAGACGGAUGAGAAAGAAGGGAGAAACAGACAAUAAUACAAUACUAGUAGGGGACUUCUGUAGUCCACUGUCAGCAAUGGGUAGAUCAUCCAGACAGAAAAUUAACAAGAAAACAUUGGAAUUGAACCACACUUUAGACAUAGCAGAUGUAUAUAGAAUAUUCCAUCAACAGCAUCAAAAUACAUCGUUUUCAAUUGUGCAUGGAACAUUCUCCGAGUUGAUCAUGAUAGGACAGGACAUAAAACAAAUCUUAGCAAUAAGAAGAUUUAAAUUACACCAACUAUCUUUUCUGACCACAAUGGUUUGAAGCUAUAAAUCAACAAGAGGAAAGCUGGAAAAUCUGCAAAAUAUGUGGAAAGUAAACAACACCUUUCUGAACAAACUAAUCAAAGAAGAAACCAAAAGGGAAAUAAACUGUCUCCAAACAAAUGAAAAUGGAAACACACACUGAAUCAUAGAGGAUGCUGCAAAAUCAGCUCUGAAAGUUUAUAGAGAUAGUUAACAAAUAUUAAGCAAUUAGAUUAAAAUAAACAACCUAAUUUUACACCUCAAGGAAUUAGAAAAAGAACAAAGUAAGCUCAAAGUUAACAGAAAGAAGGAAAUAAUAAAGACCAGAAGUACAAUAGAAAGGAUCAACAAAACUAAGAGCUGGUUUUUCAAAAAACAAAAUUGACAAACAUUUAGCUAGACUAAAUAAGAAAAACAGAAGACUCAAGUAAAUUGAAUUAGAAAUGAAAGAGAAGACAUUACGACUGAUACUGUAACAACACAUAGGAUAAGAGACUGUGACAUAUAGCAUAAGAGACUGAACGAUUACAUGGCAACAAAUUAGAUAACCUCAAAGAAAUGGAUAAAUUCCUAGAAACACAAAACCUACCAAGACUGAAUCAGGAAGAAACAAACAAUUUUAACAGACCAAUAACAAGUAAAGAGAUUGAAAGAGUGAUUACAAACCCCCAACACAGAAAACCCGGAAGGAUGGCUUCACUGAUUAAUUCUACUGAACAUUUAACGAAGAAUUCAUACCAGUUCUUCUCAAACUCUGCCAAAUAAUUGAAGAGAAAGAAGUAAUUCCAAACACAUUCUACCAGGCCAGCAUUAUCCUGAUACCAAAGCCAGAUGAAAACAAUACAGGAAAAGAAAAUACAGACCAAUAUGCCUGAUGAAUAUAGAUGCAAAAAAAAUGUUAGUAAACCAAAUUUAAGAGCACAUUAAAAGGAUUAUACACCUGACUAAGUGGGAUUUAUCCCUGGGAUGCAAGGCUGGUUUAACAUAUGCAGAUCAGUAAAUAUAAUACAUCACAUUGGUAGAAUGAAAGGUAAAAAUUACAUGAUUGUCACAAUAGAUGAAGAAAAAGCAUUUGACGGAAUAUAACAUCCUUUCAUGAUAAAAACCUUUACAAGGUCUAUGGGAUGCAGCAAAACAGUUCUAAGAGGGAAGUUCAUAGUGAUACAGGCCUUUCUCAAGAAACAAGAAAGAUCUCAAAUAAAUUCGGCCUAACCUACCACCUACAAGAAUUAGAAAAAAAAAGAACAAAGUCAGCAGAAGGAAAGAAAAGAUUGGGGGAAAUAAAUAAAAUAGAGGACAAAAAAAACAAUAGAAAAUAUCAAUAAAACCAAAAGCUGGUUUUUUUUUUUUUUUAAGAUAAGUAAAAUUGACAAAUUUCUAGCCAGGCUCACCAACAAGAGAGAACCCAAAUAAGAUAAUAAAUGGAAGAGGAGAAAGAACAACCAAUACAACAGAAAUAUUAAAAAUCAUCAUACUAUAAACAGUUAUAUACCAACAAAUUGGACAACCUAGAAAACGUAGAUAAGUUUCUAGAAACAUACAGCCUGCCAAAAGUGAGUCAAGAAGAAGCAGAAUUUGAACAGACCGAUCACUAUAAGUGAAAUAGAAUCUGUAAUUAAAACAAAACAAAACUCCAUGGAAACAAAAGUGCAGGACUGAAUGGCUUCACUGGGGAAUUUUACCAAAUAUACAAAGAAGAGCUUAUACGUAUCUUCCUCAGACUAUGCCAAAAGAUUGAAGAAGAGGGAACACUCCCAAAGUCUUCUAUGAAGCCACUAUCACCCUGAUACUAAAACCAGACAAACUACAAAAAAAAUUAAAGGCCAGUAUCUUUGCUAAUAAUUUUGUUAAGGGUUUUUGCAUCUAUAUAUUCAUCAAACAGAAUGCAACAAUACAUAAAAAGGAUUAUACACCAUGAACAAACUGGAUUUAUUCCAGGGUCACAAGGAUGGUUUAACAUACAGAAAAAUCAAUGUGAGGGGGUGGGAAGGGAUAAGUCUGGAAGUCUGAGAUUUGCAAGUGUUAGCCACUAUAUAUAAAAAUAGAUUUUAAAAACCAA